AGCUGUGGCACGUUGUAUCCUGUAAUAAAGGACAGGGAAAGUAAAAUUCUCAAAGCAUUCAUGAAGAAAUCCAGAGCUUAGUGCCAUAUUCCAAAAAUAAAUCAGAAGAAUCUGUGUACAGGAAGCUUCUGGCUGCUGUUGCACAAGUGAGGAUGUCCCAAUGCUCAGCUCUUUCCCAAGCUUUUUGGCUCUGGAUGGAGGUGGGAGCUGCGGACUCAGGACUUCUAAAAAAAGAAAGAGACAUGGAGAAAGACAAUCACGCAAACAGGACAAAUAGCAGCCAGUGUAAGUCUGAGGAGCUGUGACGCAUCCCAGGAAAACUACAGAGCAAGCUUGGGUGAUGACAAUGACCAACCCUAUCUUUGACCUUUAGUCAGUCUUUAUAAUUAUUGUGAUUUUCUUUCAUUUUAUUGUGGUUUUUCAAAAUGUAUCUACACUGUACAAAUGUUGUUUUCCUCCGUUAAAAGAAUCCAAACAAACAAGCAAAAAACCAAGCUAAAAGUACAACCCCAAAGCUUGAAACUACAUAUUAUUCCUAGCCAUGUUCAGAAGGCAGAAAACAAAUGAAGCUGACCGUGUUGCUAUGCUGUUUCAACUAUGCCUGUCAAUCCAACAAAUGCCUGUUACUGUCUACACACCUACCCAGACAGACAUGUAUGACCUGCAGCUGGUCAUGCUCCCAUAAAGCUGAUGAAAGCGCUGUGCUUGCUGGGUCUGGACACCUGGGCUGCCUUCCCUGUGAAGGGUUCCCUCUAAAGUGAAAGACAAACAGAAGAUCUAAGGCUGUAAAAUCUGUCUCUCUGAUGGCAGUUGCAGCACAUCCACAGACUACACCUAUUCAACAGCUCAAUCGACAAAAACAAUGAUUAAAUAUCAACUACUUACCAAAGCAGUGUAUUUAAAAUUACUUGAGGGCUGUUUACAGCACAACACAAGAGCAGUGACAAAAAAACCCUACUCACUCUGAGCCAGGAGUGAGUAACAGCUUUUUUCUCCUGAUAACAUUACAUGUAUCUUAGGACAACAAUAGGACAGAUCCUGCUACGUGAUUCAAAGGCUUUCUGGUGACUGUGGGAGAGAGGAUGGAUUUGAUACUGCAGUGAAAGGAGGGAAAAGAUCAUGAG